rnacentral:rRNA from 1 species
UACAGAGGGUGCGAGCGUUGUCCGGAAUCACUGGGCGUAAAGGGCGCGUAGGCGGUCUCUUAAGCGUGUGGUGAAAGCCCGGGGCUCAACUCCGGGUCGGCCGUGCGAACUGGGGGACUGGAGCUUGUCAGAGGCAGGCGGAAUUCCGGGUGUAGCGGUGGAAUGCGUAGAGAUCCGGAAGAACACCGGUGGCGAAGGCGGCCUGCUGGGCUAUGGCUGACACUGAGGCGCGACAGCGUGGGGAGCAAACAGG